CCUACGGGAGGCAGCAGUGGGGAAUAUUGCGCAAUGGGCGAAAGCCUGACGCAGCGACGCAGCGUGAGGGACGAAGGCCUUCGGGUUGUAAACCUCUUUCAGCGGGGACGAAGCGAAAGUGACGGUACCCGCAGAAGAAGCACCGGCUAACUACGUGCCAGCAGCCGCGGUAAUACGUAGGGUGCAAGCAUUGUCCGGAUUUAUUGGGCGUAAAGAGCUCGUAGGCGGCUUGUCACGUCGGAUGUGAAAACUCGGGGCUCAACCCCGAGCCUGCAUUCGAUACGGGCUAGCUAGAGUGUUGCAGGGGAGACUGGAAUUCCUGGUGUAGCGGUGAAAUGCGCAGAUAUCAGGAGGAACACCGGUGGCGAAGGCGGGUCUCUGGGCAACUACUGACGCUGAGGAGCGAAAGCGUGGGGAGCGAACAGGAUUAGAUACCCUGGUAGUCCACGCCGUAAACGGUGGGCGCUAGGUGUGGGGAACCUUCCACGUUCUCUGUGCCGUAGCUAACGCAUUAAGCGCCCCGCCUGGGGAGUACGGCCGCAAGGCUAAAACUCAAAGGAAUUGACGG
rnacentral:rRNA from 1 species